rnacentral:rRNA from 1 species
UGCCUGAUGGAGGGGGAUAACUACUGGAAACGGUAGCUAAUACCGCAUAACGUCGCAAGACCAAAGAGGGGGACCUUCGGGCCUCUUGCCAUCGGAUGUGCCCAGAUGGGAUUAGCUAGUAGGUGGGGUAACGGCUCACCUAGGCGACGAUCCCUAGCUGGUCUGAGAGGAUGACCAGCCACACUGGAACUGAGACACGGUCCAGACUCCUACGGGAGGCAGCAGUGGGGAAUAUUGCACAAUGGGCGCAAGCCUGAUGCAGCCAUGCCGCGUGUAUGAAGAAGGCCUUCGGGUUGUAAAGUACUUUCAGCGGGGAGGAAGGGAGUAAAGUUAAUACCUUUGCUCAUUGACGUUACCCGCAGAAGAAGCACCGGCUAACUCCGUGCCAGCAGCCGCGGUAAUACGGAGGGUGCAAGCGUUAAUCGGAAUUACUGGGCGUAAAGCGCACGCAGGCGGAUUGUUAAGUCAGAUGUGAAAUCCCCC